CAGUCGCCGCGGGAACACGUAGGGUGCGAGCGUUAAUCGGAAUUACUGGGCGUAAAGCGUGCGCAGGCGGUUAUAUAAGACAGAUGUGAAAUCCCCGGGCUCAACCUGGGACCUGCAUUUGUGACUGUAUAGCUAGAGUACGGUAGAGGGGGAUGGAAUUCCGCGUGUAGCAGUGAAAUGCGUAGAUAUGCGGAGGAACACCGAUGGCGAAGGCAAUCCCCUGGACCUGUACUGACGCUCAUGCACGAAAGCGUGGGGAGCAAACAGGAUUAGAUACCCCUGUAGUCCCUGUCUCUUAUAC
rnacentral:rRNA from 1 species